rnacentral:lncRNA from 1 species
AUGGAAAGUGAAAAUGUCCAAGAUGAAGACCUAACAUCGCACAUAAUCAAGACGGAUUUCAUCGUAUCAAAAGACCUUCAUGAUCAGGAUGACAGUCCCUUGAAGUUAGACCACGUUGAUGCCAAGAAGCCGAAAGUCAGCAUGCCAGGAGUACUUUUGGACCCGAAUGAGAGUGGCUCACAAUCGGAAAGAGUCAACGGGAAGGUCUUGGAGAAGGAAGAUGAGGAGGAGAGUUUGGAUCCGGAGCAACUCAGUCAAAGCAGCAGUUCUGAUGACUCAUCUGCCAGCAGCGACGUAAGCAGUAGUAGUAGUGAUGACGAGAGGUCCAAAUCCUUUUUGAACCAGUCAAACACAUCUGUAAACUCUGAUUCACCAGUAAAUCAAUGGUCUAGCUCUUUAACUGGUACAGGCAUCAAAUUGUCUGUGAAAAGUAUUAGGGAUUGUAAUCAACCUGGGGACUCAGAUAAAGUUGAGCCCAGCAAGGUAUUUUGUGACGAUGUAAAAUCCAGUAGACUCUCCGAUGACAGUAGUAGCUCAGACUCGGUUGAGACCCCAAGCAAAUCAGAAAACUGUAACGAUUGGAGUAGUCCAGAGAAAGACGAUGAAAGUGUUAAUUUGAGUCCCAAUUCUAGACGUAGCUCAACAAAUUUUAAAGGUAGCAUAUCUAAUUUCAACACCUCCAUAGACUCAAUACCAAUUGAAAAUUCAAACUCCGGUUUGAGUAAUUAUAACGCAAAUAGAAAUGAGAGACAAAGCAUCGACUCAGUUGGGUCGCAUGUAUCCCUCAAAAGCAAUGACAUUGUCUUUGAAAGGAAGUUGAGUUUGUCGUCUGAUAGUAGUGACUCAGAGAACAGCAGAGACCAACCAGAGCCAGUCCAAAAUGUCUCCCAAAUAAUUGAAAAUACCCUCUGUAAUAGUGUUAAAAGUAAUCUGAAUAAUUCAUUCAUCAGAAGAAUUGAUCCUCAUUUAAAUCAUGAAAAUUCUAAUGAAUUGCUGAAUAGUAGUACCUGUGUUAAGUUCAAUGAUGUAAUUACUGCAAGAUCUCCAGAAAAGACGCUAACUAGUCCACUGAAAGAAGCUUCCCAAGACUCGUGUUUGUCAGACAAAUUCUUCAACAGUACUGAGAAAACUGACAAUUCCAGUGUCAACAACUCUGUCAACUCUGUGCAGAAAGUUAAUUCAUCCCAAGCUCCCAUCAAUCAUUUGUCCAAUAAUGUAGAUCAAAGCCCAAAAAAUUCUAGCAACCAACUCAUGCUGAAUAGUGUAUCUAAAACCAAGAAUAUCUCUAAACCUGAAAAUUCUAUAGAAGAAAUGGAACAAGAGGAUUCUAAUAACUCUGAUCAUACCCAACCUUUAAAAGAUUCUUUCCCAAACUGUACGGGUGGAGAGAGGAAUUUAAAAGAUACAAUUGCUGUAAGAUCUGUUUGUAAUUCCUCUGAAGUAGAUGCUUUUGGUAAUAGAAUAGCUGAUGAAGAUAGUUGUAGUAACUCCAAUUCGAAAGAAAUAUGCCAAUCCAUCAGUAUAGGAGUUAAAACAUCUAACGCUAACAUUUCAAAGGAAGUAAGCAAAACUGACGAGCCUUCCAAAGACUUAGAUCUUAAUUUUGAAUCGCAAGACAUGGGAAUGGAAAUAUCAAGUGACUCAAGUUUAUCUGAUGAUGAGGGAAGUGAGGUAAACAUGUCUCAUUUGAACAAUCUAAGUUCUGGAAACGAAGAUAGUGACCAAGAAAAUGAAGAACUUGCGGUUGAUGUCAUGGCAGUUAUCGGUGGAAGCAAUGAAAAAGAAUCCCUUGGUGCAGGAGUUGAUGUCAUGGAUGUUAUUGGUUGCAAAAUAGAAGAAGAAUCAGGAAGCACUGCUUCUAAUGACUCAAAAACUGUUGGAUUGGAUAGUAAAGAGGAACCCUAUAAAACAACUACUGACAUUAUGAAUGUAAUUGGCUGUAGCAAAGAUCUAGAGUCAGAAGGAACUUCAGUUGACGUCAUGAAAGUCAUUGGUUCGGCAAUGGAAAAUGACUCUGAAGAGUCUCCAACAGACGUGAUUCAUCCCAACACAGGAGGAACAUCGAAGAAGGAGCUAGAUGCUGUCAUGAGGAUAAUAGGUGUCAGCAAUGAAACAGAACCAAUGGAUAUCGAUGUCCUAAAAGUUAUCGGUGGAAGUGAUUUUGUAUUAAGUAAAAAUGAGGAUACACCCUCAAUAUCCAAUAAGGAAAAUACAAGAAUGAGUUUAGAUCAAUCCUACUCAGAUUCAUGCUCAGAACCAAAAGAUGGAGGUGAAACUAGUACAACGGUUAAAAAUAAAGAAAGUGGGUUCUCUAGUCCUGAUGUUGAAAUGUAUUCAAAUUCUUUAGAGAACAAGUUAGAGUCGGAAGAAAGCACCAAACGAUCAGACCUUGGUACUCAUAAGGAGGAGACUAAUGUGGAAAAUUCAAAAGAUUCUGACAUACCCUUAGUUACUGAAAAUUUUGGAACUGAAAGUGAAGCACAAUCUUCAUCACUGACUAAAAGGUUAUCACAAAGUGAUUGCUUAGAAUCCUGUAGUCUGAAGAAGAAAAAGUUGCUUCUAUCAUCCAAGCACAAAUAUAUUUUGCCUGCUCCAAGUCCUGGUCAGAACUGUGGAGAAAUUGGAGAGGAGCAUAUGACGGAGUACGCACAGUAUCUAGGACUCCAACCAUCGUUAAAAUUCAAGUGUUGCAUUUGUGCCCAAGUUGGGUUUCAAAGCUACGCUGAACUAAGAGAACAUCAGAAAAACUGCCAGUCUUCGGAAGCAUGCAGAAGUUCAACAAGUUUGGAGAAGCCCAAUUUUGAAAAAGUGACCUACCCUACCGCAGAUGACAUCAAUCAGAUGAAUUUUCGGAUAUCGAGAAAGGUGUAUCUCUGUUCAGCGUGUGGCACGUACUACGAGAACUGGGAAUGUUUUUACACAUGCAGGAGGUCCACCAUCAAUUUAUUUGCCUCCUGUGCCUUAAGAUGUUCAAAAUGA